rnacentral:rRNA from 1 species
UGGGGAAUAUUGCACAAUGGGCGAAAGCCUGAUGCAGCAACGCCGCGUGGAGGAUGAAGGCCUUCGGGUUGUAAACUCUUGUCUUCUGGGACGAUAAUGACGGUACCAGAGGAGGAAGCCACGGCUAACUACGUGCCAGCAGCCGCGGUAAUACGUAGGUGGCAAGCGUUGUCCGGAUUUACUGGGCGUAAAGGAUGCGUAGGCGGAUAUUUAAGUGGGAUGUGAAAUACCCGGGCUCAACCUGGGUGCUGCAUUCCAAACUGGAUAUCUGGAGUGCGGGAGAGGAUAGUGGAAUUCCUAGUGUAGCGGUGAAAUGCGUAUAGAUUAGGAAGAACACCAGUGGCGAAGGCGACUUUCUGGACCGUAACUGACGCUGAGGCAUGAAAGCGUGGGGAGCAAACA